rnacentral:rRNA from 1 species
GUGUCAGCAGCCGCGGUAAUACAUAGGGUGCAAGCGUUGUCCGGAAUUAUUGGGCGUAAAGAGCUCGUAGGUGGUUCGUCACGUCGGAUGUGAAACUCUGGGGCUUAACCCCAGACCUGCAUUCGAUACGGGCGAGCUUGAGUAUGGUAGGGGAGUCUGGAAUUCCUGGUGUAGCGGUGGAAUGCGCAGAUAUCAGGAGGAACACCAAUGGCGAAGGCAGGACUCUGGGCCAUUACUGACACUGAGGAGCGAAAGCGUGGGGAGCGAACAGGAUUAGAUACCCUGGUAGUCCACGCCGUAAACGGUGGGCACUAGUUGUGGGGACCUUCCACGGUCUCUGCGACGCAGCUAACGCAUUAAGUGCCCCGCCUGGGGAGUACGAUCGCAAGAUUAAA